GAGUGAUCACAGUUUUUGAGAAUCAUGAUGAGGCAUUAAAGAAGAGGAGGAGUGUCUCAAGGGAGGUGAGCUGGAGGUGAUGCAAGGAUGUCUGAUCUGAAAGCAUGUUGUGGUCCGCUACACACAAGAGCAAAAGAAGAGCAGGAAGGAGCUCAGUGCCAAGACCAUAGCCACAGGAAGAAAACCAGCUCUUAGGGCUGCAGCUCUAAAGACAGGCCAGGUCAUUACAGGAACGUCUGCUCCCUUAGCCUUGCCAGACAGAGGAGGGUUAAGAAAGGAACUGCUGACCCUGAUAUGCAAACUGCCACGAGUGCUUCCUGCCUUUCUAUCAGCAUCAGAUGGCUAGCGAUGGAUGGCUGUAAGAUUGAUGUAAUUAACAUUUUAUUUUCAGGGCCACAGUGCUGGUUGGGUGCACCAGACAAAUCAACCAACAGAUUAAAGAGUGAUGGAGAAAGCUGUGUUUUGGGCCUCAUUUGGGAACAGAAUGGAAGAGCUGAGGGUGGAAGGGACCUCAGCAAGUCUUCUGAUCCAUGUUUCAACCUUCAUUUCCCCGAUAACCUCAAGGAGAGAGUUGCUUUUCCUGUUCUUCAAAUGAGUUCCUUGAAUUCACACUCUAUUUCUUUGAAUUUGCACAGACUGUUGAGGAACAGGCGGCAGGGUCACUCUACCUCUGCUCAGACAAGCCUGGAAAAGAAAAAUUUUACAUAGAAGACUGAGCUGGAAGAGGCCUGGGAACUUGGGAAUUCCCACUUCCACACUGCCCACUCUAGUUCUCAAGAGGCGGCAGCUAUGCUGCAGUACAGACCACUGAAUUUAGAUUCAGGAAUCUGGGUUUAUAUCUCACUCCUCCUCUUACUUGCAAGUCACUUACCACACCAGGCCUCGGUUUCCUGGACAAUAAAAUGGGGAUAACGUUGCCCCAUGUGGUUGUUGGUGGUCAUGAAAUUAUGCACACGAGCACGCCUUGUAAUCUAGGUUAGACCUGCACUAACCUAGAUUAGCUGACCAGGGUGGAAGGUGGGAGGGGCAGGCUUCAGUGUGUGACUUACCUAGAGGCCAAGGGGAGUCACCAUGGAUAGGGCAGCACUUGUAAGUCCUCUGCUCUCUCAAUGUGGCUCUGAGAAUCUCCAGGAAGAACUGGCUGGUUGAAUUCUCAACUCUACCAAGAAAGGUGUGCUGGAGACCAGGGUCAUAGACGUCUCCUUGUUGAUGUACGAAAAUCAGGAAGCCGUCUCGGGUCCUCUUUACCAGGACAUAGUGUAAUUAUUCAUCUUCUUCCCUGUCAGUUGGCACUGGAAAAUUUUGCUUCUUCUAAAAGGAACAAAUAUCUCUAGCUCUUGUUGCUCCAACAAGGUGUCUGGCUUGAUUCCUAAAGUAAAUAAAUAAAUAAACAAAUAGAUUGAUAGAGAAUAAAUACAUCAAGGUAAAAGGAAGACAGAGAAAUUAAAAAGCCACAUCAGAGUAUCAAGGACUGGGGUACCAGCUUGGGGACCACCCUCCUUUUCAGUAUUCCCACAAACUCUCCCUGGGACAACUUCAUCAGAGGAGUCAUUCAUUCAUUCAUUCGUUCGUUCAUGCAUCUAUUUGGCAAGCAUCCUCUGGCUUGUAUGGUGUUCUCAGUGCUGGGCUGGCUCUGUGGGGAGGACAGUGAUUUGUUCUCCCAGGGGUUUGCCAGACCCAGGGAACUACAGGGCCUGUGGUUCUGAGGCUCCAGGGCUGCUCUCAGCUGAGCUGUAGGAGGACACGAGGGCAGAUCUCCCCCAAAGCUUCCCUGGAGGACUGAAGCAUUCUGCUUCUGGGACAGUCUGUUGGCCCUUUCUUCCACAUCUCAACUUUCAGUGUCUCAGCGACUGGCCUAUGUACUCUUGGGCUUGCUUGAGGACCUUGAGGAAAUGAGUCUAAAUCAGCAAAUGCCCUUUCCUCAGGGAACAGCCUCGUUAGUUGUGCAUGCAGCCUGGGCCCUUUCUCUUUUUGUUGCACAUGGCAGCGUCUUCCACCUACAAUGAGGCCAAGAGCUUGGCAGGGGUGAUGUUGAUAUUUAGCUUCAGACUGCUGUUAAUGCUUCUUUCCCUCAUAUUUGUGGAUGCUUCUUUUAUUUUUUAUUGUAAUAUACUUAUUUUGGAUCUUAAAUUUAUACAGCAAUGCAGCUACUUCCAAGGAAGAAGCCAAAGUGCCAAUCUUCCAUAAGACAAGAGCCUGUAGCCACGGCACAGGAUCUAACACAAAAUAUUACUGCGUUAAAUAUAAUUUUUAGCAGCAGUUAAAUGCCUGCUGCCGUACUCUGUCCAUAUCAAGUGCCCUGCAAAUGUUGAUGCUGAAUUAAAGAAAACACAAAACAAAACAAACAUAAUGGGAAGAGGGAGUAAGUAGAGUGGGCGAUGAAAAUUAAAUGAGAAAAAACAAAGUUAAAGCAUGAAAAAAGGUUUAAUGGAGUAUUAUAGAAUUAUCUACUGAAAGGACAAAGUAGAACAAACUAAAAAUAAAAAGGCAAUAUAACAGCUUAGAUAAGAGGAAUGUAGAGGCAGAGAAAAGCUGGAGAGGUAAUUAGGACAAUUACCUCCAUGCAAUGGUUUUCAAUCUUGGCCCCACACUGGGACCACCGGGGGAGUUUUAAGAACUACUGAAGCCUAGGUGCCACCCCCACGGAGUCUGAUUUCAUUAGUCUGGGGUGGGUUUUGGGCAACAGGAUUUUAAUAACUUCCUUAGAUAAUUCUGAUGUGCAGCCAGGGUUGAAAGCCACUGUGUAACAAAAAGAAGAAUUGUAGGACAGUAAAGGCUUAUACACUGUUGUACUGAGGGGACAAGGAAGAGGUGUCACCUGUGACCAUAGGGCCUGCUGUGGCAUUGGGAUCGGCCAGUCUUCUGCUCCUUGUCCUUUCUCUAUGACCAGCGCGGACCCCCAACACCUUUGCUGCCUGGUGAUUGCUCACUUCUUACAAACUUACGUCAGCACCAACCAUCUCCCUGUUCCCUUGAUCUCUUUCAACAGUGCUGGGCACUUAGUGGGUGCUUAGUAAAUAUUUGUUAGGUGCUAUCAUACCUGGCAUUCUGGGUCCUUCUGUGCUAGUUGAAAUGGGCUAAGUCUGUGUUCUUGGUUUCUCCUCCUAAUCCUGCUCUGACCUUUCAGAUAGAAAUUUUGUCCUAUCCAGCUCCCUUCUGAGAGGUAGAAUUCAGUUGGGGAGCCCACUAGCUGGGAUUCCUUACAUUGGGACAUCACUGUGUGUGUGUGUGAGAUGGAACCCAGCCUGUAGCGCACUGGACUCAUAGAGUAAUGGGUUCUUGCUAUAUUUCAACUUUGCAUUCUUUUUCCCUCCCUCCCUCCCUCCCUCCCUCCCUCCCUCCCUCCCUCCCUCCCUCCCUCCCUUCCUUCCUUCCUUCCUUCCUUCCUUCCUUCCUCUGUUUUUGUCUUACAAUUCCCAGGCUCAUGGCAGACCAUAGUAAUCCAAGGAGACCUACCAUUAGGAGUGAAAAUGUGUCCAGUUCCCUGAAAUGGCAACUUGUUUUUGGAGGGAGAUAGAUUGCUUUCUGCUCUCCUGGAAUUGCAGAUUUCACAGUGAAGAUUUGCUGCCCCAGGGAGAGCAGUGGGUGGAAUGUAAAGUUAUUGCUGUCUCUGGAAAUCCUCUUUGAUUUGUUCUGCUCGCUGGAAGACAGUGGGGGUGUGCUGGUCCCCAGGUAGAACUCAGAGAAGCCACGGCACAGGUUUUCAUGCUAAUAAUAGACUAAUCCUGUGUUUUUGUUUGUAGAAGCCCAUUUAUAAAAAAUAAAAUAAUGGUAAUUAUGUGCUUCCAUUCAACAAUAUCCCAAUAAAGAGGUAAAACUGGAAAAACCUGGAUUGGGAGCAGAUGGAAAAUUAGUUUAAAUGGGCCCGAACAGGAGCCCCUCCCUCUUUGUAGUAGUCUCUGCACACAGGAAAAAACAUUUCCCACUUUCCUCCUCUGAAGUGGAGCAAAGAAUUUUGCUCAAGAUUCUUGGUUGGGAGUAGGCUGAGGGGAUAGCGCAGUGUUAGAGAGAAUAUAAAUGCUCUUUUCUCCUCCUUUGGUGGUGGGACUUAUGGAAAUGUAGAGUGUUUAGUGUCUACAGAGAGCUUAAAUUUUGUGGCUGGAAUCAUACUUCUGUGGAAUUAAGAUUUUAUUAUAUAGAUCUUACAUUCCUUCAGUUGGCCGAUUACCCCUGGGGCACCACAGGGUGGUGACAAGGGUGGGCCCUCCCAGAACCCUAGGGAAACUCCCUGCUUCAUCCCCUAUGGGGAAGCAAAUAACUACCUUUCAUCCUUCAAUCCAAGGGAGAGGAGAAAGCUGUAGGAGCAUUUCUGGGAGUGAGACCCUCCCCCACUCCACCUCCAAUGGGAGACAGUGAGAUGACCCUAUCUACUGGGGUGGGUCUAUGAUGCCAGAGGAGGGGAGAAGACAGAUGGAUGGGGACUUGUCCUCUUUCCCUUGGGAGAGGGGUGGUGGGCCCGGCCCUCCGUGCCAGGGGCUCCCAUAGUCAUUGACAAAAACUUGCAUCACGCAACAGUUCCACAGGUACAUCCCAAUUCUUGAGCUAAUAUACCUACUACCUUUUGCUUAGUUUUAUUACAGACUGGGAGGAAAAAGGAAUGAGGCUGAAAGAUUGCCAGAACAUGGAGUCAGAGCUAACGAGGAAACAAUGGAGGAGGAACAUGGAAUUACUGCAGGAUACUUUUGGGAAGGCAGCUGUGUAGGUUUAAAAAAAAAGUGGCUCAGAAUGUAGCUUUGGGGGCUAGAAAAGAGUUCCUAAACCAUCAAGUGGGAAAGUGAGUACAGUAUUUGAGUGGGAUCUUAGACUUACAGCAGCUUGGGCCACUAUAAACCAGUGUCCUGGUCAUGUCCCAGGAACCUCACCCACUGUGCGUCUGCUGCUGUCCCAUUGCCAUAACCUGCACACCUCAGAUAUUCUUGCUGGUUAUGUGGGGUUUAUAUUGAGUUUGGUAGUGUGUGGGGACUGGUAAAAGGGCAAGGACUAGAGUAAAUACACUUUCUUUAUAACAUUCACCACAGCUAGAGAAGCCGCAGUUCAGAGUGGCUGUUCUAUAAUCACCACUGUAGCGCUGUGUUAAAGCCUAGCUUAGAAUGCGAGUGCUGUUAUAGUCAUCAUGUAUAUGACAAGUUAAAGGGCUCUUAACAUUGAGCUAUGGAAUGAAUGUUUAGUAUGAGUGAAUGAAAAGAUUAUUGAAUAGAAAUACAAGCUAUCCAAUUGGCAGGGCUCUAAUCGCAAAGUAGUCUGAGCCUGAGUUAGCACACGUGCAUAACUGAGUAGUGACUGUGGGAACUUGCGAAGUUACCAAAGGAGGGCAAAGAAAAUACUACGUGCAGCACGAUUCCUCUUGCAUGGUGAACCAUCUCAGCAUCUAUCCCACUGGAAUAACAUUGUGAGUGGGAUCACGGUGCAUGACAAAGCAUAUGGUAGCAAUCUAGCCCAUCAGCAGUGUCCAGGCUGUGGUGAGAAACCAGAGAUGUAGUCUAACAAAAGAUGCAUAGGGAAUGGCACAUGCCAAGGAGAUGGACUAGAAGAACCCAGGGAAAGAGAAUUUUUGGAAGAGUCCACUGACAGCCAUCUCUCUGUCAGAAUACCUUUUUUAACGAGGUGCCAGCUCACGUCCCAGAUUGGUGACCCAGAGGCUGAGCUGAGAGUCACGGCUGCAGCCUGCUUAGAUAACUGUUGCCUUUAUUGAAACCUGCUGUGUUCGCAUUGACUCACAACAUGGCUGGGGACUCAGCUGGACAGCAUACCAAAUGC
rnacentral:lncRNA from 1 species